UGGGGAAUUUUGGACAAUGGGCGCAAGCCUGAUCCAGCCAUGCCGCGUGAGUGAAGAAGGCCUUCGGGUUGUAAAGCUCUUUCGGCGGGGACGAAAUGGUUCGUGCCAAUACCACGGACUGAUGACGGUACCUGAAGAAGAAGCACCGGCUAACUACGUGCCAGCAGCCGCGGUAAUACGUAGGGUGCAGGCGUUAAUCGGAAUUACUGGGCGUAAAGCGUGCGCAGGCGGUUUGUUAAGACAGAUGUGAAAUCCCCGGGCUUAACCUGGGAACUGCGUUUGUAACUGGCAGACUGGAGUGUGGCAGAGGGGGGUGGAAUUCCAAGUGUAGCAGUGAAAUGCGUAGAUAUUUGGAGGAACACCGAUGGCGAAGGCAGCCCCCUGGGCUAACACUGACGCUCAUGCACGAAAGCGUGGGAGCAAACAGGAUUAGAUACCCAUGUAUUCCCUGAGCGGGCUGGCAAGGCGCAU
rnacentral:rRNA from 1 species